GAUGAACGCUAGCUACAGGCUUAACACAUGCAAGUCGAGGGGCAGCAUUAACGAAAGCUUGCUUUUGUUAGAUGGCGACCGGCGCACGGGUGAGUAACGCGUAUCCAACCUGCCAUAUACAGAGGGAUAGCCUUGCGAAAGUAAGAUUAAUACCUCAUGGUUUAUAUUUGCCGCAUGGCGGAUAUAAUAAAGAUUUAUCGGUAUAUGAUGGGGAUGCGUCCCAUUAGAUAGUCGGCGGGGUAACGGCCCACCGAGUCGACGAUGGGUAGGGGUUCUGAGAGGAAGGUCCCCCACAUUGGAACUGAGACACGGUCCAAACUCCUACGGGAGGCAGCAGUGAGGAAUAUUGGUCAAUGGACGAGAGUCUGAACCAGCCAAGUAGCGUGCAGGAAGACGGCCCUAUGGGUUGUAAACUGCUUUAGUAUGGGAAUAAAGUCAUCCACGCGUGGAUGUUUGCAUGUACCAUAAGAAUAAGGACCGGCUAAUUCCGUGCCAGCAGCCGCGGUAAUACGGAAGGUCCGGGCGUUAUCCGGAUUUAUUGGGUUUAAAGGGAGCGUAGGCGGAUUUUUAAGUCAGUUGUGAAAGUUCACGGCCCAACCGUGAAAUUGCAGUUGAAACUGAAAGUCUUGAGUGCACGCAGGGAUGCUGGAAUUCGUGGUGUAGCGGUGAAAUGCUUAGAUAUCACGAAGAACUCCGAUCGCGAAGGCAUGUGUCCGGAGUGCAACUGACGCUGAGGCUCGAAAGUGUGGGUAUCAAACGGGAUUAGAUACCCUGGUAGUCCACACAGUAA
rnacentral:rRNA from 1 species